rnacentral:snRNA from 1 species
UUGUUUCAGUGGCACAUAAACUAACAUUGGAAUGAUACAGAGAAGAUUAACAUGGCUCCUGUGCAAGGAUGGAACACAAAUUCCUGAAGUGUUCCAUAUUUUU